ACUCAGGGACUCGCAGUUCCUGCUGAGUCACUUCUCCCCCUUCUAUGGAAACAAAAGCAGCGUCACAGGCAUCUGUCAGUCAGGAGCCGAUUCGAUCUGACACGGCUCAGCCAAUGAUGCCUGAGAUUCUCUAAAGAGGAAGAGAGGUGACAGUUGUGAAUAAAUAUAGAAUCAUCUGAGGCAUGUCAUUCAUUCCCACACUAGACAGUGAACCCCCAGUGGAACUGUGAAGAUCUUGUGUGCGUUCUCAGCGAUCAGAGCGGAGGAGAUCCAACAGUGUUGGUAACGUGAUUCUGAGAACCAUUAUCAACCAGGCUGAAGAUACGGAGCAUGCCACCUCAGUGGGACAUCUCAAACAGAAUAUUUGGAGAAGCUUUUUCAAAUGGCAAAGAUACUUCCUACAAAGAUUAAGAAAUGCGCUUCAGAACCCUCAAGCUCUGUUCAAAAGUAUUUUGUCUAGUGAGAGAGAGAAAUUGUUAUUUUAAAAAUAUAGCAGAUAUGAAGG
rnacentral:lncRNA from 1 species